GAUUUAUUACAGAGCUCCGUCAAAAGGAGAAAGAAAUUAGAUAACAAGUGCAUGCAUGUGUGAGUGCUUGUGGGACUAAAUUCAUGUGAAAUACUGGACCUGAUUGCUGGGCUCAUAAAAAGCAAGGGGAGAAAAUGGGAAGAACCAGACUAAGAAACCUCUUGGGAUGAGUUAAACAUGGGAAAAUUGCUCACUGGUUACUAUCACAGACAGAACAAACUCAAACUUAACUAUCUUAAGCUGUUUUAUUCCUUUGCUCCAAACUACCAGCUUCCCACACCAAGUGGUGCAGCAUAUCUAGAGAAGCUUUACCUUUGGAUGUCAACUUUAGCUCCCACAACCUCCCUACUAAAUCAGUCCUUGCUGCCUCUUCUGCUAUGCUGGGCAGGAGGAGAGACUUGGACUUUCUGCCAUCUCUGCUGCACCUACUACCUACUAGGUCAUUGUGUUGCUUGUUUCCCACCCGUGUGUUGCUGAGGAGUUUGGCAUGCAAUGGAAAAGACUGUGAACCAAAAUUUUCUGAUCUUAUUGGCAAAUAUUAGUUGUUUAUCCAUCUAUGUUGUGAGAAGAUUCUUAUUUAAAAGCAAUUUAUUUUUAUGAAAAUACAGACAGUGGCUUGCAACACAUGUUAAUUACUGUUUACUUACUGCUCUGAAACACUCUCAUCUCCCUUAAUCAUUAUCUAUUUCUAUAUGAUCUGAAUUAGGAUUAACUUCAAAAAGUUUAUAUAUAUAUAUAUAAUUAAUAUUAUAUUAUAUAUAAUAUUAUAUAAUUAUAAUAUAAAAUAAAAACAAAACAAUUAUUAUAUAAUUAUAGAAUAUUAUUAUAUUAUUAAUCUUAUUAUAUUAUUAUAUUUUUUUAUUUUAUGAAGCUUACUUAGAUUUACACUGUGUGUUUUUAUAAAUAUCAAGGUUUUUCUCCCUUUUUUCCGACAAACUCCAUAUGGCUUUUUCCUAUAUUACACUCUGAGAUAG
rnacentral:lncRNA from 7 species